CGAAAGUCUGACGGAGCAACGCCGCGUGAGUGAUGAAGGUUUUCGGAUCGUAAAACUCUGUUGUUAGGGAAGAACAAGUACCGUUCGAAUAGGGCGGUACCUUGACGGUACCUAACCAGAAAGCCACGGCUAACUACGUGCCAGCAGCCGCGGUAAUACGUAGGUGGCAACGUWGUCGAUAUUGGGCGUAAGCGCGCGCAGGCGGUUUCUUAAGUCUGAUGUGAAAGCCCCCGGCUCAACCGGGGAGGGUCAUUGGAAACUGGGGAACUUGAGUGCAGAAGAGGAGAGUGGAAUUCCACGUGUAGCGGUGAAAUGCGUAGAGAUGUGGAGGAACACCAGUGGCGAAGGCGACUCUCUGGUCUGUAACUGACGCUGAGGCGCGAAAGCGUGGGGAGCGAACAGGAUUAGAUACCCUGGUAGUCCACGCCGUAAACGAUGAGUGCUAAGUGUUAGAGGGUUUCCGCCCUUUAGUGCUGCAGCAAACGCAUUAAGCACUCCGCCUGGGAGUACGGUCGCAAGACUGAAACUCAAAGGAAUUGACGGGGGCCCGCACAAGCGGUGGAGCAUGUGGUUUAAUUCGAAGCAACGCGAAGAACCUUACCAGGUCUUGACAUCCUCUGACAACCCUAGAGAUAGGGCUUCCCCUUCGGGGGCAGAGUGACAGGUGGUGCAUGGUUGUCGUCAGCUCGUGUCGUGAGAUGUUGGGUUAAGUCCCGCAACGAGCGCAACCCUUGAUCUUAGUUGCCAGCAUUCAGUUGGGCACUCUAAGGUGACUGCCGGUGACAAACCGGAGGAAGGUGGGGAUGACGUCAAAUCAUCAUGCCCCUUAUGACCUGGGCUACACACGUGCUACAAUGGGCAGAAC
rnacentral:rRNA from 1 species